AAAAAAAAAAAAAAAUGGAAAUCUGGUGAACUCUAAAAAUUGAAUAAAUAAUACUGGAUCUUCACCUACGUUCUUCAACAAGUAAAGCUUGGGAGGUCUCACGCCCACCUCUUUGUUUUUCCUGCAAUCCAAUUCUGAAUCUUGUUAGCCAAGACACUAGUAAUGUACCAUACACAUUCACUGCUACUACCCCCAAGGAACCCACCGGCCCAACCAACCUCUGGAUCAUCAUUGCUAAAUAUGGCUAAAACUAUGGGAGUUUUCUGCAUAUGCAGUUCCCAUGCAAGAAGUGGCUUGCCUCAGUAGUAUGCACAGUGCCUCAAAUUUGUUACAGUUUCUUAGGCAAAUUAUAAGUUUUCUUGAGGAACUUUGUUGCUACUUCAUCAUUCCGGUAACACAACACACGA
rnacentral:misc_RNA from 1 species